rnacentral:rRNA from 1 species
AUGAGGAGUGUGUGGCAAUUGCCCGCCGAGGAGGCCCUCAGGAACUCUGAACCUGACUGGUUGCUCAUGUUGCUCCAAGAAUUGAAUGGAACACAACAAAUGCUAGUUCUCAUGAUCUUAUGGCGUGUAUGGCAUGUGCACAAUGAACUAACUCAUGGCAAGCCAAUGAUUCCCAUCAUAGCGUCGAGAAGGUUCCUAUGUGAGUAUGUUGAUUCUCUGUUGAUGAUCAAACACUACCCACGGAUGAAUAUAGCUAAAGGGAAACGACCGGCGAACUUGAUUGCAUGUCAUAUGAGCAGGACGUCGGCACAAGCUUGUCGGGAUACUGAUGGCUCCUUUGUUGCAACAAUUGAUGAAGCUGAUGGCUCUUCAAUUGCCAUGGUCCACUCGAGGCUGAGCUUGCAGCAUGCGAGGAAGGACUGCGACUGUUCUUGCACUGGUCCCAAGCACCAUUGGUGGUAG